rnacentral:rRNA from 1 species
UACAGGGGGGGCAAGCGUUGUUCGGAAUUACUGGGCGUAAAGGGCGAGUAGGCGGCCAACUAAGUCCGACGUGAAAUCCCCAGGCUUAACCUGGGAACUGCGUCGGAUACUGGAUGGCUUGAAUUCGGGAGAGGGAUGCGGAAUUCCAGGUGUAGCGGUGAAAUGCGUAGAUAUCUGGAGGAACACCGGUGGCGAAGGCGGCAUCCUGGACCAACACUGACGCUGAGGAGCGAAAGCGUGGGGAGCGAACAGG